AUUGUGCCAGCGGCCGCGGUAACACGUAGGAGGCAAACGUUAUCCGGAUUUACUGGGCGUAAAGCGCGUGUAGGUGGUACUGUAAGUAGGGCGUGAAAGCUCCUGGCUCAACUGGGAGAGGCCGUUCUAAACUACAGAACUAGAGGAUGGUAGAGGGAGGUGGAAUUCCAGGUGUAGCGGUGGAAUGCGCAGAUAUCUGGAGGAACACCGGUGGCGAAGGCGGCCUCCUGGACCAUUCCUGACACUCAGACGCGAAAGCUAGGGUAGCAAACGGGAUUAGAGACCCCGGUAGUCCUAGCCCUAAACGAUGUAGACUAGGCGUCGGAAGUUUAAUCACUUUCGGUGUCCAGGCUAACGCGAUAAGUCUACCGCCUGGGGACUACGGCCGCAAGGUUAAAACUCAAAGGAAUUGACGGGUCCCCGCACAAGCAGCGGAGCGUGUGGUUUAAUUCGUUGCUACACGAAGAACCUUACCUGGGUUUGACAUAGCAGUGGUAGGGAAGCGAAAGCGGACCGACCCUUCGGGGAGCUGUUACAGGUGUUGCAUGGCUGUCGUCAGCUCGUGUCGUGAGAUGUUCGGUUAAGUCCGCUAACGAGCGCAACCCGCGUUGUGUGUUACAAGUGUCACACAAUACCGCCGGUAUUAAGUCGGAGGAAGGUGCGGAUGACGUCAAGUCAGCAUGACCUUUAUAUCCAGGGCUACACACACGCUACAAUGGUCGGCACAAUAGGUUGCCAAGUCGCGAGACGGAGCCAAUCCUCCAAAGCCGACCUCAGUUCAGAUUGCAGGCUGCAACUUGCCUGCAUGAAGUUGGAGUUGCUAGUAAACGCAGGUCAGCUAUACUGCGUUGAAUACGUUCCCGGGGAUUGUACACACCGCCCGUCAAGUCAUGGGAGCUGGCAACACCUGAAGCCGGUAUCCUAACCCGCAAGGGAGGGAGCUGUCAAAGGUGGGGUCGGUGACUGGGACUAAGUCGUAACAAGGUAACCAAU
rnacentral:rRNA from 1 species